AUUGAACGCUGGCGGCAGGCCUAACACAUGCAAGUCGGGCGGAGCGGCGGACGGGUGAGUAAUGUAUGGGGAUCUGCCUGAUAGUGGGGGAUAACGUCCGGAAACGGGCGCUAAUACCGCAUACUAUCAGAUGAGCCGAGGUCGGAUUAGCUAGUUGGUGGGGUAAAGGCCUACCAAGGCGACGAUCCGUAACUGGUCUGCGAGGAUGAUCAGGCACACUGGAACUGAGACACGGUCCAGACUCCGACGGUAGGCAGCAGUGGGGAAUAUUGGACAGUGGGCGAAAUCCUGAUCCAGCCAUGCCGCGUGUGUGAAGAAGGUCUUCGGAUUGUAAAGCACUUUAAGUUGGUAGGCGUUACCAACAGAAUAAGCACCGGCUAACUUCGUGCCAGCCGCCGCGGUAAUUC
rnacentral:rRNA from 1 species